rnacentral:rRNA from 1 species
GCGUAAGAGCUCGCAGGCGGCUUGUCUCGUCUGCUGUGAAAGCCCGGCGCUCAACCCCGGGUCUGCAGUGGGUACGGGCAGGCUGGAGUGCAGUAAGGGAGACUGGAAUUCCUGGUGUAGCGGUGAAAUGCGCAGAUAUCAGGAGGAACACCGAUGGCGAAGGCAGGUCUCUGGGCUGUAACUGACGCUGAGGAGCGAAAGCAUGGGGAGCGAACAGGAUUAGAUACCCUGGUAGUCCAUGCCGUAAACGUUGGGCACUAGGUGUGGGGGCCAUUCCACGGUUUCCGCGCCGCAACUAACGCAUUAAGUGCCCCGCCUGGGGAGUACGGCCGCAAGGCUAAAACUCAAAGGAAUUGACGGGGGCCCGCACAAGCGGCGGAGCAUGCGGAUUAAUUCGAUGCAACGCGAAGAACCUUACCAAGGCUUGACAUGUGCCGGACCGUCCCAGAGAUGGGGCUUCCCUUCGGGGCCGGUUCACAGGUGGUGCAUGGUUGUCGUCAGCUCGUGUCGUGAGAUGUUGGGUUAAGUCCCGCAACGAGCGCAACCCUCGUUCCAUGUUGCCAGCACUUCGGGUGGGGACUCAUGGGAGACUGCCGGGGUCAACUCGGAAGAAGGUGGGGACGACGUCAAAUCAUCAUGCCCCUUAUGUCUUGGGC